rnacentral:rRNA from 1 species
AACGAACGCUGGCGGCAUGCCUAACACAUGCAAGUCGAACGAGACCUUCGGGUCUAGUGGCGCACGGGUGCGUAACGCGUGGGAACCUGCCCUUAGGUUUGGAAUAACUCCCCGAAAGGGGUGCUAAUACCGGAUAAUGUCUUCGGACCAAAGAUUUAUCGCCUUUGGAUGGGCCCGCGUUGGAUUAGCUAGUUGGUAGGGUAAAAGCAUACCAAGGCGACGAUCAAUAGCUGGGUUGAGAGAAUGAUCAGCCACACUGGGACUGAGACACGGCCCAGACUCCUACGGGAGGCAGCAGUGGGGAAUAUUGGACAAUGGGCGAAAGCCUGAUCCAGCAAUGCCGCGUGAGUGAUGAAGGCCUUAGGGUUGUAAAGCUCUUUUACCCGGGAUGAUAAUGACAGUACCGGGAGAAUAAGCCCCGGCUAACUCCGUG